CCUACGGGUGGCAGCAGUGAGGAAUAUUGGUCAAUGGACGCGAGUCUGAACCAGCCAAGUAGCGUGAAGGAUGACUGCCCUAUGGGUUGUAAACUUCUUUUAUAUGGGAAUAAAAUGUUCCACGUGUGGGAUUUUGUAUGUACCAUAUGAAUAAGGAUCGGCUAACUCCGUGCCAGCAGCCGCGGUAAUACGGAGGAUCCGAGCGUUAUCCGGAUUUAUUGGGUUUAAAGGGAGCGUAGGUGGAUUGUUAAGUCAGUUGUGAAAGUUUGCGGCUCAACCGUAAAAUUGCAGUUGAAACUGGCAGUCUUGAGUACAGUAGAGGUGGGCGGAAUUCGUGGUGUAGCGGUGAAAUGCUUAGAGAUCACGAAGAACUCCGAUUGCGAAGGCAGUUCACUGGACUGCAACUGACACUGAGGCUCGAAAGUGUGGGUAUCAAACAGGAUUAGAUACCCCUGUAGUC
rnacentral:rRNA from 1 species